UUAAUAUUUUUAAAAAUUAAAUUUAAAUUUCAUACGGUGUAUUUUGAUGUUUGUGGAUACAGAAUUUGUGGAUACAUUUCUUAUGUACACAUUUGAAAUAGUUGUGGACAUAUGUUUUGUGGAUAGUUUUUUAGUAUUUUGUAGAUACAUUUUUGAUGGACAAGUUUAAAACAUCCACUGAUAUGGCAGAGACAUCUUUAUAUCUUUAUAUAUAAAGAAAGCUUUGGAUCCCUCCCAGGUAUGCCAACAAGGACGCCACGUCAGAAAUUCGCGAGUUCCUGUUGCGACACGUCAGAAACGCAUCGUUUCAUUAAAGUGUUACGGGCUUCGUGAUGGGCUUCAUGUUGCGUUCGUAUGCGGCCCGACAACCACAAGCUUCUACUGAAACCCUAAUCAGCCUCUACGCUCUCCUUCGUGUUCUUCGCUCACCUUUGAUCGGCGCAGAUGCGAUCCAGAAUCUGUAACGGUUCUCCGAGAGUUAAUGGUCUUAAAUCGUCUUCAAUCGCCAUCCCACUACGAAGCUCUCUCCUGCGCCGUUCGGCUGCUAAAACGUGUAUAAAUAUGCUGCAAUCUCACCGAGGACAUCAAGGAGAAGAUUCCCUAUGUGGCGUUGGAUUAUGAGCAGGAGGUUGAGACAGCCAAAUCAAGCUCUGCAAUCAAGGUGACUUAUGAGCUCCCUAAUGUGAUCAGUAGUUUACAAGGAUUAAACUUUUUGGCUGUCCAAAUUUUUUUCAUAUACCUACUCUAAAUUUACUGAAGGUUAGAAGAGUAGACUUUUUUCAGUAAUUGUUUUUUCAUUAAAUUUUAUACCUUAACUUUUUUAUGUUAACACUGUACUUUUUUGUGAUCCCAAGGUAAUGUUACGUGAGACUUUCAAGAUGGAGCAUCCUAAGGAACAAAUAUACUGUUGCUUGGAUGCUUGAUGUGAGGGGCUCCUUCUCACCUUGCAGGUUCUUUUGUAACUUAGCCUCUUGAUCUUAAAGGCACACUGACGUUGAAUUUUAAUCCAAAACCAGGUUAGAAUGUUUACUGGAGACAAUGCUAUACUUCCUCUCAGCACAUACUCAUAAUUGUUUUAUUAUCUCAGUUGACAUGUUCUUAAACUAACUGUAAUACUUGCAUUUCACACUAAUUCAGAAGGCACUUUAUGUUGCAAAAGUUGAAGAACAUGAAAAACUACAACAAUUACCUGGUAAAACAAGUGCCAGUGGAGUGUCAGUUUAUAUAUUGGCUGUUAUUUGAGUCGCUGACCAGUCAUUGAUCUGUUGCGAUUUAAAGGAGGAAUGUCGGAGUGAAGAUGAGGCCGUUCAGUUUUAUUUUCAGAGGUUAACAAUGACAACGAUGCUUAGGAGGGUAGUUAAGAGGUCAGUGGCUGAUUUUGUUUUCUUAGUUACUACGCAUCAUACUCAUGGCAUAUUAGAAACUUUUUCGUAUAUGUUCAGUUUAUGUUGCUUAGGAUGGAAGCCAAUGACUAAGAAGUUGAAGUUUGUAGCAUGAGUAAAUCUCUCUGCUUUAAAAAAAAAAGGUUUUCUCAAAUGUUUAUGGAGCUGAUGUCUUUCUUUUUCUUUUUUCCUGCUUUUGUACUUCCACAAUACAUAUUUUAAAACUGUAAGUUUGUUAAUUCUCUCAUCAGAUCUCAUUCGUGUUAUGUCUAUUUGGCAGCUGAGAUUUUUCAUUGUUUUUAUGAGUUGCUUCGUGUUAAUGAAGUAGAUCUCAAAAGACCCAGGGAUUUCAGAAUAUUACAGACAAGUUCAUGGAGCUUAGUACUAAGUUACUAACAGCAAGAUCUGCCUGCUGAGCUUUGUUGUGUUACUGGAGGAUCAAGAAGUCAACAAGAUGAUGCGCUUUCUUGGUGUAAUGUAGAAUACAUUCUUCCUGGCGAAGUCAAGUUGUUGUGAAAGACAUUCUCAAGUUCGUGGAAAAUAUUUGAUUGAGCAUGUUGAAAACCCCAAGAUGCUGUUGAGAAGACAACUAUUUAGUAUGUAUCAGAUAUUCAGAUGGAGAAGAAGUCAAGGAUGGAACUUUCAGACAUGAAACAAUAUUGAUUACUAUGUACCCACACAAUACCAAUCUUUUUUUUUUGUGUACCAAUUAUAUGUAUGUAUGUAUGUUGGGUUGUACCUAAAAAUUUGAUACUAAAAUAUUAUACAGAUCUUUUAUAUAAUAGAUAAACUUACAUAUUAAUAGCAAAUAAAUUUAAAUAU